UACGUAGGGAGCAAGCGUUGUCCGGAAUCAUUGGGCGUAAAGCGCGCGUAGGCGGCCUCAUAAGUCCGUUGUGAAAGUCAAAGGCUCAACCUUUGAAAGCCGAUGGAUACUGUGAGGCUAGAGUUCGGAAGAGGCGAGUGGAAUUCCUGGUGUAGCGGUGGAAUGCGCAGAUAUCAGGAGGAACACCAAUAGCGAAGGCAGCUCGCUGGGACGAUACUGACGCUAAGGCGCGAAAGCGUGGGGGGCGAACAGG
rnacentral:rRNA from 1 species